UACGUAGGGCGCAAGCGUUAUCCGGAAUUAUUGGGCGUAAAGAGCUUGUAGGCGGUUUGUCGCGUCUGCUGUGAAAUCUCAAGGCUCAACCUUGAGCUUGCAGUGGGUACGGGCAGACUAGAGUGUGGUAGGGGAGACUGGAAUUCUCGGUGUAGAGGUGAAAUUCGUAGAUAUCGGGAGGAACACCAGUGGCGAAGGCGGCGAUCUGGGAAGAUACUGACGCUGAGGUGCGAAAGCGUGGGGAGCAAACAGG
rnacentral:rRNA from 1 species